UACGUAGGGUCCGAGCGUUGUCCGGAGUUACUGGGCGUAAAGGGCGCGCAGGCGGCGGUGCUGGCCCGGCGUGAAAGCCCCCGGCUCAACCGGGGAGGGUCGUCGGGGACCGCACCGCUUGAGGGCGGUAGGGGCUGGUGGGAUGCCUGGUGUAGUGGUGAAAUGCGUAGAGAUCAGGCGGAACACCCGUGGCGAAGGCGGCCAGCUGGGCCGACCCUGACGCUGAGGCGCGAAGGCGUGGGGAGCGAACGGG
rnacentral:rRNA from 1 species